GCCGCGAAUUCCCUAGUGAUUCAGAACGAACGCUGGCGGCGCGCCUAAUACAUGCAAGUCGAACGAGAACGUGUAGCAAUACACAUGUACAGUGGCGAACGGGUGAGGAAUACAUGGGUAACCUACCCUCSAGUGGGGAAUAACUAGCCGAAAGGUUAGCUAAUACCGCGUACGCCUCCUGGACUGCGGUUCGGGAGGGAAAGCGAUACCGUGGGUAUCGCGCUCUUGGAUGGGCUCAUGCCCUAUCAGCUUGUUGGUGAGGUAACGGCUCACCAAGGCAUCGACGGGUAGCUGAUCUGAGAGGAUGAUCAGCCACACUGGCACUGCGACACGGGCCAGACUCCUACGGGAGGCAGCAGUAAGGAAUAUUGCGCAAUGGGCGAAAGCCUGACGCACCCACGCYGCGUGGGGGAUGAAGGUCUUCGGAUUGUAAACCCCUUUCGGGAGGGAAGAUGGGAUGGGGUAACCCAUUCGGACGGUACCUCCAGAAGCAGCCACGGCUAACUUCGUGCCAGCAGCCGCGGUAAUACGAAGGUGGCAAGCGUUGUUCGGAUUUACUGGGCGUACAGGGAGCGUACGCCGGUUCGGUAAGCCCUCCGUGAAAUCUCCAGGCUUAACCUGGAAAGUGCAGAGGGACUGCUGGGCUAGACGAUGGAGAGGAGCCCGAAUUCCUGUGUA
rnacentral:rRNA from 1 species